AGUCGAACAGCAGCACGGACUUCGGUCUGGUGGCGGGUGGCGAACAGGUGAGUAAUGUAUCGGAACGUGCCUAGUAGCGGGGGAUAACUACGCGAAAGCGUAGCUAUUACCGCAUACGCCCUUCGGGGGAAAGCGGGGGACCUUCGGGCCUCGCACUAUUAGAGCAGCCGAUAUCGGAUUAGCUGGUUGGUGGGGUAACGGCUCGCAAGGCGACGAUCCGUGGCUGGUUUGGGGACGACCAGCCACACUGGGACUGGAGACACGGCCCAGACUCCUACGGGAGGCAGCAGUGGGGAAUUUUUGGACGUGGGGAAACCCUGGUCCAACCAUCCCGCGUGUGUGACGAAGGCCUUCGGGUUUGUAAAGCACUUGGCAAGGCGAAGCGGCUGGGAUAAUACCCCGUGCAGCUGACGGUACCUGCAGAAUUAAGCACCGGCUAACUACGAUGCCGGCGGCCGCGGUAAUACGUAGGGUGCAAGCGUUAAUCGGAAUUACUGAGCGUAAAAGCGUGCGCAGGCGGUUCGGAAAAGAAAGAUGUAGAAAUCAGAAAACAACUUUGGAACUGCAUUUUAACUACCGAGCUAGAGUGUGUCAGAGGGAGGUGGAAUUCCGCGUGUAGCAGUAAAAUGCGUAGAUAUGCGGAGGAGCACCGAUGGCGAAGGCGGCCUCGCAGGAUAACACUGACGCUCAUGCACAGCGUGAGGCAAACAGGAUUGAAUACCCUGGUGAUCCACGCCUAAACGUCCGUCAACUAGCUGUUUGGGGCCUUCGGGCCUUGGUAGCGCAGCUAACGCGUGAAGUUGACCGCCUGGGGAGUACGGUCGCAGAUAAGAAGAAAACUCAAAGGAAUUGACGAGGGGACCCGCACAAGCAGUGGAUAUUCUUGGAUUAAUUCGAUGCAACGCGAAAAACCUUACCUACCGCGGCCCAUGUCUGGAAUCCCGAAGAGAUUUGGGAGUGCUCGCAAGAGAACCGGAGCACGGGUGCUGCACAUAACAUCGUCAGCUCGUGUCGUGAGAUGUUGGGUUAAGUCCCGCAACGAAGCGCAACCUUUCAAUCAUUGGUUGCUACGAAAAGGGGCACUCCUAAUGAGACUGCCGGUGACAAACCGGAGGAAGGUGGGGAUGACGUCAAGUCCUCGCUUGGCCCUUAUGGGCAGGGCUUCACACGUCAUACAAUGGUCGGGACAGAGGGUCGCCAACCCGCGAGGAGCCAAUCCCAGAAACCCGAUCGUAGUCGGAUCGCGAUCUGCAACUCGACUGCGUGAAGUUGGAAUCGCUAGUAAUCGCGGAUCAGCAUGUCGCGGUGAAUACGUUCCCGGGUCUUGUACACACCGCCCGUCACACCUGCAUGGGGUGGUUUUGCAGAAGUAGUUAGCCUAGCCGUAAGGAGGGCGAUUACCACGGUAGGAUUCAUGUGACUGGGGUGAAGUCGUAACAAAAGGUAGCUCUGUUACUACC
rnacentral:rRNA from 1 species